rnacentral:tRNA from 1 species
UAUAUUUUAGUAUAUUAGUACAAAAAUUUUUGAAAUUUUAGGAGAUAAUUAAUUUUAUUAAAUAUAA